CUCGGGAGGCAGUUGGUGAAGUUCUGGACCAUUUGGAGCCAGUAGAAUGAUUUGGAGGGGAUGCCUAUGUGGAAGAAAUUGUACUAUUCAAGGCGACUGGGGAUGAAAGACGAGGAUAAGACAUUCAGCGACUGGUUGGGAAAAGAACAUUUUGGUGGGUGAUAUAUAAAAAGAAAGAAAAACAGCCUGAGAACUGAACCUUGGGGAAUCCCAUGAGUGACUGCGAAGAAAGGUGAGGAGUAGCCUGAAUUGGGGGUGAACUGUUUAUUGUCAGACAGGAUCAGAUAGGAUGUAAGUCAAUUCUUGUAGUGUCCUCAACACCCAAAUAUAAUUAAGUAGUAAUGUCAA